GUCAAUUCUUUGCUCCGGAAGAGUUGAAAUCUAUCACAAGAACAGCUGGGGAACAGUCUGUGACCACAGCUGGGACUUAAAUGAUGCUGAGGUGGUCUGCAGACAGUUAGACUGUGGACCGGCACUGGAGGCCACUCAGUCAGCUCACUUUGGUGAAGGAACAGGACAAAUCUGGCUUGAUGACGUGUCCUGUUCAGGACGUGAAAGUUCUCUAACUGAAUGUCAGCACGGAGGAUUUGGGACACAUAACCGUACUCACAGUAGGGAUGCUGGUGUCAUCUGUUCAGGUGCAUCCAUCAGAUUAGCUGGUUCUGGGUCCACUCAGUGCUCUGGAAGAGUUGAAAUGUACUAUCAAAAAAAGAUGGGGAACAGUCUGUGAUGAUGGCUGGGACUUAAAUGAUGCUGAGGUGGUCUGCAGGCAGUUAGACUGUGGGAUGGCACUGAGUGCUCUUCAGUCAGCUCACUUUGGUGAAGGAAAAGGAGACAUCUGGCUUGAUAAUGUGGCCUGUUCAGGGAAUGAAAGUUCUCUAAUUGAGUGUCAGCACAGAGGAUUUCGGAUGCACAACUGUAAGCAUCAUGAGGAUGCUGGCGUCAUCUGUUCAGGAAUCAGAUUAGCUGGGUCCCAGUCAGCUCUGUGCUCUGGAAGAGUUUAAAUCUAUCACAAGAACAGCUGGGGAACAGUCUGUGAUGAUGGCUGGGAGAUAAAUGAUGCUGAGGUGGCCUGCAGAGAGUUAGACUGUGGAACAGCCCUGAAGGCCACUCGAACUUAUUUUGGUAAAGGAACAGACAGGAUCUGGCCUGAUGAUGUGUCCUGUUCAGGAAACGAGAAAUCUCUUACCGAGUGUAAUCACAGAGGAUUUGGGAUACAGAACUGCACACAACAAAUGGAUGUUCAGGUGAGAU